UGGGGGAUAUUGCACAAUGGGGGGAACCCUGAUGCAGCGACGCCGCGUGGGUGAAGAAGCGCCUCGGCGCGUAAAGCCCUGUCAGCAGGGAAGAAAAUGACGGUACCUGAAGAAGAAGCCCCGGCUAACUACGUGCCAGCAGCCGCGAA
rnacentral:rRNA from 1 species